UCCCUGGUGACUCAGACGGUAAAGCAUCUGCCUACAAUGCAGGAGACCCGGGUUCGAUCCCUGGGUUGGGAA
rnacentral:tRNA from 1 species